rnacentral:rRNA from 1 species
UACGGAGGGGGCUAGCGUUGUUCGGAAUUACUGGGCGUAAAGCGCACGUAGGCGGCUUUGCAAGUUAGAGGUGAAAGCCCGGGGCUCAACUCCGGAAUUGCCUUUAAAACUGCAUCGCUAGAAUUGUGGAGAGGUAAGUGGAAUUCCGAGUGUAGAGGUGAAAUUCGUAGAUAUUCGGAAGAACACCAGUGGCGAAGGCGACUUACUGGACACAUAUUGACGCUGAGGUGACGAAAGCGGUGGGGAGCAAACAGGG